GAGCCUAGAACAUGUGGGUAGCAAAUGCUUGAUCUAAAUCUAGGUAGUUGACGGAUAUGAUAUGGGAAGGUUUUGAGCCGCUGUCAAUCUUGCUCCUAGAGAUACUAGAGUUAUAGAGAAUUUUUUAUUUUGAAAAUCUUAAAUUGCUACAUGAUGAGUUCCUUUAUGACAAGAGUUUUAAAUUCCUACCAUAGCCAAAUACUCAUGCUUACUAGAUUAGGAAAAACUUCCACUUAUAUUUUAACCUAUAAGCAUUGAGGGUAGUUAAGCCGUGUAGACCCUAAGGAACUAGUCAUGCAGUUAAAGUCAAUGUGCUCUCCAUUGAUCUUAGCUACUUGUGUCCUUAGAAGUAUGCAACCACUUACAUCCACCACAUUCACUAUGUGAUACUUCUGUUCUUGGAAGUAUCACCCACAUAUACGCACUACACUUUGUGUUGUUUCUAUCCUAAGAACACACACCUAUGCUGCUCCUACCCUGGGAGUACGCAUUCAUCCAUCCACACAUUCCACAUCCACUCAGAAAAUGUUCUUUUCCUACACUGGGAGAAGACACCCUAAAAUAUUCAUUAUGUCUUAUUCUACUUAUCCAAUAAAGCUCCAGUUGUUUCAGUUGAUAUUCCCUAUUGUUAUUAGUGCAUUAAAAGGGUUGGCUAAUCUAAAAAAAAGAGAGAGAGAAAAAAAGAAAGAGAGAGAAAAGAAAAGAAAGAGGACAAAAGGUCCCAAAAGAAAAGAAAGACAGCCAAGUCCUUAUUCUCAGAUUAGGGAGGUAUGUUAUCCCCAAGGAGCAAUUGUAGAAUUAGAUAUUCACCAUCAUUCAUCUCCCUUCACUAUUAACAUCAUUUAUUUCAUUCACUGCACUCACAUGCACAUAUGACUUGAUUGGAUAAUUAGUAUCUCUGGAUCCAUGGUUUAACUAUGCAAUACAUGCAAGUAGGUUUGAAUUAUUUUUCCCACCUAUAAGCUCCACAUGAGCCUAUUAGAAGUAGGGUGAGAGAGAGAAGGCAAUGCCUUAGUCCUACAAAUACUACAUAUUCUGAGAGAAGAGAGAAGGCAUACUUUACACUUGCCUUGAGAGGAUCCAAAAAUACCACAUAUGAGAGACUUGAAAGGGUCAUACAAGGAAUCUCUGAGUUUUUUUGAAAAUCUUACAAAACUCUAGAAAAAUUGUUGAUCAAAGAGUGAGUAACAUAGCACUUGACUUAACCAUUCUAUCUUUCAAUUGCUCAAGAUCUAAGUGAUAGCUAUAUGCCCCAUGGUCAAAUGUAAUAUGAGUAAGUCUUGAGACAUAAUAGUUCACUUUAAUUCGGAGGAGAGUCCUUGUUUGAACGCAUGUGUACUUGUGAGGCAUAAAAGCAUUGUAGCAACUUCUGAUCCAUCACUGAGUUUAUCUUUGCUUAGGGAUGAGCAAAAGGUAAGCUUGGCGGAGUUUGUUGACGGUAGCUAAGUAAUCUUUUUAACCGUCAACAUAGUAUGAGAAAGGACUUAAAUCAUAAUAUUAUCUAUCUAUAGGGGUUAUCACUAAUAGAAUUCCAUGAGUUUUGGUGAAUAUCUGUUUUUGCAGGGUGUCAGCUAAAAACAACCAAAGAUGGUCCAUAUGUCAGGUUUACAUAGAGAGAACAUCAUGAACAUCAACUUUUCUGUCAUCUAGAAGGUUCGAGG
rnacentral:lncRNA from 1 species